rnacentral:lncRNA from 1 species
CACAUUAAAAAAGGUAUAUUUUAUUUCAUUUCAACAUGUACAACAUUUUUACAUCAUGAGCAUGAGUCACACAAAAGGGUAAAUACAUUAUUGCCAGCUUAUUUUCAAUCUUCACAAACAAAUAUUAAACACCACCCCAAGAGUCAAAGACCCAGUUCAAUAGUACUGACCUCAAAGUAUUGGAAACAAAGAACCCAAAAGAAAACAAAGAAUUUACAUAAGAAAAAAAACCAAAGUAUAAAAAUGAUACCACCACUCAUAACACACUUUAGUUAGAAAGAUAAAAGUAAAAGUGAAGCCAUGAAUGUUCCAAUAGAUGCAGCAUAAUUGAAGAAGAUUGAAGCAGCAGCAUUAGGAGGAGGAGGUUCAUAAACAGGAGCUGGUGAUGGGUUUGACUCUACAAUUCCUGAAGGUGGAGGAGAUUGACCCUCUUGCUUAUAAGGUGUUGGUGAAGGAGCAUAUGAUUGUGGUGAUGGUGGAGAAGCAUUGCUUCUUUGGUUAGUGUUUGAUGAGUUAUGGUUGUUCCUAUCAGCCAACACUAUCACUGUUACCUUUUCAUUUUUAAGACAAUUGUCUUUGUUUCCACUUAUGAAGAAGUGAGGUCCUGAUUGGUUGAGUUUGAUGACUGUGUGGCCAUCAUAGAAUUUUGCAUAAGGUGAACCAGUGUUGCAAUUGGCAUAGUCUUCAUUCUUUACAUAAAGUACUGAGUCUUGGCCAGAUUGAUAGUUGAAUACUGCAUCAUGUGUAAAAAUUUGAUAUUUUAUGUCAGAACUUUCCUUUAUAUCAUAUUUGCUUGUUACAAAGUUUUGAUAUCUUAAAAACUUUAGGCACUAGAUAAUGCUGCUACCCUUUACAGAAGUAUUGCAUUGUGCAAGAACAUGUAUCUAAAAAUAAUAGUUUCUUACAUAAGUUUCAGUUAGGAGGAAGAGGAAGAUUUUCCACAAGGAAUAAUUUACCACUAGACCAUUGAACCAUCGGCCUUGUGGUAUUUCUGAGAUCGAGCCAAACGUUAUACGACUAGACCAACACCUUGUUCAUGAUAACUUUAUUAAAAAAAGCUAAAACUAUAUAUACUUUGUAACAAAAAAUUCAUUAACCCAUGUAGAAAUAUGUGUCAUUCAAUUUAGAUCAAAUUGAAAUUCUUCAAACUGUUUCCCCCUCUCUAACCAAAUUAAGAUAUAUAUAUAUAUAUAUAUAUAUAUAUAUAUCUUAAUUUGGUUAGAGAGGGGGAAACAGUUUGAAGAAUUUCAAUUUGAUCUAAAUUGAAUGACACAUAUUUCUACAUGGGUUAAUGAAUUUUUUGUUACAAAGUAUAUAUAGUUUUAGCUUUUUUUAAUAAAGUUAUCAUGAACAAGGUGUUGGUCUAGUCGUAUAACGUUUGGCUCGAUCUCAGAAAUACCACAAGGCCGAUGGUUCAAUGGUCUAGUGGUAAAUUAUUCCUUGUGGAAAAUCUUCCUCUUCCUCCUAACUGAAACUUAUGUAAGAAACUAUUAUUUUUAGAUACAUGUUCUUGCACAAUGCAAUACUUCUGUAAAGGGUAGCAGCAUUAUCUAGUGCCUAAAGUUUUUAAGAUAUCAAAACUUUGUAACAAGCAAAUAUGAUAUAAAGGAAAGUUCUGACAUAAAAUAUCAAAUUUUUACACAUGAUGCAGUAUUCAACUAUCAAUCUGGCCAAGACUCAGUACUUUAUGUAAAGAAUGAAGACUAUGCCAAUUGCAACACUGGUUCACCUUAUGCAAAAUUCUAUGAUGGCCACACAGUCAUCAAACUCAACCAAUCAGGACCUCACUUCUUCAUAAGUGGAAACAAAGACAAUUGUCUUAAAAAUGAAAAGGUAACAGUGAUAGUGUUGGCUGAUAGGAACAACCAUAACUCAUCAAACACUAACCAAAGAAGCAAUGCUUCUCCACCAUCACCACAAUCAUAUGCUCCUUCACCAACACCUUAUAAGCAAGAGGGUCAAUCUCCUCCACCUUCAGGAAUUGUAGAGUCAAACCCAUCACCAGCUCCUGUUUAUGAACCUCCUCCUCCUAAUGCUGCUGCUUCAAUCUUCUUCAAUUAUGCUGCAUCUAUUGGAACAUUCAUGGCUUCACUUUUACUUUUAUCUUUCUAACUAAAGUGUGUUAUGAGUGGUGGUAUCAUUUUUAUACUUUGGUUUUUUUUCUUAUGUAAAUUCUUUGUUUUCUUUUGGGUUCUUUGUUUCCAAUACUUUGAGGUCAGUACUAUUGAACUGGGUCUUUGACUCUUGGGGUGGUGUUUAAUAUUUGUUUGUGAAGAUUGAAAAUAAGCUGGCAAUAAUGUAUUUACCCUUUUGUGUGACUCAUGCUCAUGAUGUAAAAAUGUUGUACAUGUUGAAAUGAAAUAAAAUAUACCUUUUUUAAUGUGUAAUGAGUCAAUGUUAUGGGAAGUUUUCUCAAUGCUAUUAUUACAUCAAUACAUGUAUAAUAAUUAAAGAUAAAUAGUGAAUGAUAACAGUGUAUAAAACUCAUACACCGAGUUAAUGUAUAAAUCAUUUUCUCAUAAUUAAAAUCAACAAUCAAGCAAUAUUUAAACUCACAUUUAUAUAUGCUACUAUUACUAUACCUAAACACAAGCUAUCGUGAUACUUACUCACAAUUACAUAAAUUUCUAAAUGUUUCAAUUUAGAUGUUCAGAAUGAAAUGUUUUCUCUUCUUGUGUAAAUAUGUACAUUUUUUUCCUAUUGCAAGUAACUAACAGAUGUUCUUUUUUCUUUUCUUUUUACUGGUACCCAUAUAGCAGAUCUUAAACCAAUGAUGCAUUGGUUUAAUGGGUAAGAAUUUGUUAAAUUGCUAUUAUAUUAUGUCUAAGAUUAGAAUUAUGAGAAUAAUAUUUAUUGGUAAUAAUAACCACAAAUUCCAAUAAAUUAAUUCUUUAAUCAUACGGCGUUGAACUUUUGAUAUACCAUAAAAACCAAUAUCCUAUAUUAAAGUCGUCCAAAAAGAAAUCUGAAAUCAAAUUAAACAAAAAGAAUAGUGGUUAGGGCAUACUUUUUUAGUGGGAUAAUGUUAUUUAGUUUUUAGUUAAAAGGAGCAAGAUCUUUCAAAUACAGAUAGACAAAAAAUGUAUGUUUUGUGUGAGUUUUAUACAAUUAUUACUAUAUCAUCCACUAUUCAUAUUUAAUUAUUAUUGAAUCUAGUAUAAAUGAAUAGUAGAUAAUGUUCUAAUUAUAUAUAAAUUUUUGCCUUGAUAGUAUAUAGAUAUUAUAAUAUUUAUCAUUGUUUUGAGAGUUGUUGCUUAAAACCUCUUACCUCCAUGAAACAAAUCACUAUCUCAAAAUAACUCUAUUCCUAAGUAAUCAAAUAUUGACAAGUCUAUUGAUAUUAACUUCAAAAAAUUAAUGUAAUAUUUAUUUGAUACAUAUUUAUCAAAAAUCUUAUCGAUAAUAUGUUAGACAUAUGAAAAUAGGAAAGAAGAUCUCAAUUCUUAACUAAAUAACAUUAUCCCACUAAAAAAGUAUGCCCUAAACACUAAUUUUGUUGUUUGUUUAAAUUGAUUUCCGUUUUCUUUUUGGACGAUGUUGGUUUUUAUGGUAUAUAAUAUAGUUUAUACUGCAAUGUGACUCUCAUCUAAAAAAUGUGAAUAAUUACAGACCUUUACCCACUUAUUUAGAGGGUUGGAAACGAGUUGAACCGAGUCGAAUCAGGGUUCAGCUCAGUUCAACUCGAUAAGGAUUAGCUCAAUUUGAAACUCGACUCGAUUUUGAUACGAGUUAUUUUUUUAGCUUGAUUCGGUUAAAGUUCGCGAACUGUUUGGUUCAGUUCGAAUGGUUCAUUUGGACAACUCAAAUAAUUAAUUAAAAUUUGAAAAAUACUUGAAAAGGUUUUAUAUAUAUAAAUAUAAUCAUUUUUAUAUAUAUAAUAACAAUAAAUAUAAAAAAUAAUAUAUGAAUGAUAAUAAACAUAAAAUUUAAUUUAUAUAUAUAUAUAUAUAUAUAUAUAAAUCUAUUGAACUAGUUCAUAAACCUAACGAGUCAAACUAUAUUCAACUCAAGUUCGGCUUGUUUAUUUAACGAGUUCAAUUUCCAUCUCAAGUUCAGCUCAUUUGGUUCAUGAACCAAGUUUAUCGAGCUAAAUAACGAAUCGAAUUUCAAACGAAUACCGAGUUAGUUCAAUUCAUUGUCAGUCCUACUUAUUUAUAACAUAUGUUGCAAGAUUCCUACUCCUCCAUUAAAAACUUUGAAUAAACUUUGACUAGCAUAAUGAACAAUUUAGACACAUAAUUCUUUCGUGGAUGGAUUUUUCUUUAUCAUGGAUAAAUUUAUCCUUUAAUAUUAAAUUUGAGUACUUUCUUGGGAGCCUAUAAUUUUCAUCACAAGGAACACUGCAGAUAACAAUUACUUAUGCAAUCCAACUCCUUUUGACCCAAUAGCAAGGGCAUUUUCCAAUAGUAACUUCAAAAGAAAAGAAAACUAUCAUGUGAGCUAAGUUUAAUCACAAGUCAUCAUUAUCAUCACUUUGGUCCUACUUUCACAUUCAAAAUUACACAUCUAGCUACAAAAUAGAAAGGAAAAAAUAUAUAAAAACUCAGCCCCAAAAGCAACAAGAAAUUAAUGGAGGCAUAUAUAUCACAUGUAUCACAAAGCUUGUUCAUUAUCCUGUAAUGAUGAUCAUUGAUUCAUUAUACUGAAGUAACAACUAUAAAAUGUAUUUCUAUGAUUUAUAGUAUGCCUAUAGUUCAGAGAAGAAACUGCUACAAAACCUCUGUAGUGAAAACAGGUAUAGCAAAAUCUAAAGCCCUAAGCUAGACAAAAUUUUCAGCCCAUCAAAAGUUUUUGCCAAGCUCAACCUUUUUUUUAAUAACUUUAAUAGUGUUGUGCAGAAUUGAGUCCAAAAUUCCAGCUACCUGAAAUUACAGAAAAGACUUGUCAACAAUAUAAUAAUUUAACAGUAGAAGCAAAUAUUUGGAAUAACAGCAAAUACAAACCGUGAAAACACCCCCAAUAAUAGCGCAGACAUUUGUGAUAAAAUGUGAAAAAGACUUCUGGUUUUCUGUUAUUGAGACCUGCUCAUAAAACAAACAUUGUAAACCCAAUCUUUUUACUAAACAUGGUGCAAAAACUUAAUCAAAUCUUAACCUCCAUAUACAGACCUGCAUGGGGGAGAGCUCAAGAUGAAAUUUUGCUACCGGAAUGUCAACACUGUGUGCCACACUACUGUGCGCUGUGUACUCGUAUUCCUCAACUAAUCUAGAACCUGUUUUACUUAUAACCUCUGUUUUAACUACCUGGAUAUAAUGCUCUAUCUGCAGACAGAUAUCAGAUGAAUGUAUAACAUUUUGGUUAGAAUAAAUAUUCCAUAUAUUUUCUAUCAAAAUACAAUAAAUCUCCAAAUGUCAGAUAUGAUCAUGACUUAGUAGCUAUCAGCAUCCAUACAGAAAGAAAUAACCAUGAUCACUGUCAUCUAAUGAUAACAGACUAUCUAUGAGAAGUAUUUUUUAUCUCAGUGGAGACGAAAAGCGUGUAACAAAUGAGUGAAGAAUUAAAUGAUUUCCUUUGUUUUGUUACUUCUUUGCUGGGUGUUUCAAACAGAUAUUAGGGGGAAAAUAGAUAUGAUAAUCCAAAAAAAAAUUGGUGCAAACACUUGGUGCAACUUAAAGAGUGAUAUGAAGCAUAUGUGCUUUACAAGAAAAGGAAAAAAGAACCAUGUCCAUGCCAAAGUCAAAUAGUAAUGUUGGCCCUAAAUUAGUUUUUAUUUCAGAACUGAGCAUGGGCACGAACAUGAGUCCUAUUAUGGAGAUCGUGAUACAGAAAGCCUAGUCAAGGUUCAUGCUAUAUUUAAUUUAAAUUAACAUUAUUUGCAUCAAUUUUAAUUUAAAAAUAGACUAAUUUAUGUUUUUAGAUGUAAUUACCUCUUACUUCUUUACCACCAAAGAGUGCAACAGGCUGACAAGUUUCUCUAAUGCAGAUGUUGGAGAAUUUGGUCAUAUCUCUCCAUACAGAACCUCAGAAGCCAGCUUUGGAGGAUAAAUCCACUGCAGCAAAUAAAACAAAGAGACAAGCACCAACAACAGGUGGAUGUAGAGUUGAGGGACAUGUGCGUGUGAAAAAGGUAAACUCCCAAAUGGUUGCAGUUUAAUCUUCAACUCUAAUUUAUAGAUUUUUUUAAAAGUUUUUUUCGUAGUUUUCAGAUGUGAUUAUGAAUUAAGAUGUCCUAAGCUGCUCUGGAAGUAACUGAUACAUUUGCUAACUUGUUUUAAAAAUAAAUAAAGGGAAAAGUCCAUAAAAACACUUUAAACUUUAUGUUUUUUGCAAGAAGCCACCGUGAACUAUUUUUCUUCCUAAUUACGCCUUAAACAUUAACUAUUGGUGAGAUUGGUUCCUGCAUAAAGAUGAUUUUAAAUUAAUAACAAUGAAAAAUUCUAAUUCAUGUAUUUUUUUAUUCUCGACUCUUAGGUCAUUAUUAUUUUAUUUUAUAUUUGUAUAUAAAAAUAUUAUUGUAUUAAUCACCUUUUAACUCUGAAAUUUAUUUAUUCUCUUCUUCUCAAUCAAUAAUGUAUUUUGAUGGUGAUUUCCUUUGGAUAUCAAUGUUGGCUAACCUGCAUUGUUGCGUUGUUACUGUUGUGAAUCUAAUUGCAGCGAUUUCCUUGUUGUCUAUGAGUAAUUUAACAAUAUACUUAUACAUAAACCAAUUUUAUCAAUUGAUAAAGUUUAAGGGGCAAUUAGGAAGAAAAACUAGUUUAUGGUGGCUACUUGCAAAAGAUAUAAAGUUUAUGGAGGCUUUAUGCACUUUUCCCAUAAAUAAAAUAUUUCUGUUGAUUUAGUAUAGGAUUCGGUUGCUAAUACUAAAAUCACUGAAAUAAAUAAAGAGAGGAAAGUGCCAUUCUGUUCAUAAUUUAUUUUCCUAGAUUUUAAAUAUAUGGUUUUAAAAUAUAAGCUGUUUCACACUCUGCAGGUUCCUGGGGAACUGAUCAUCUCAGCUAGGUCCGAUGCUCAUUCCUUUGAUGCUUCUCAAAUGAACAUGUCACAUGUCAUAAACCAUCUGUAUUUCGGAAGGAGCAUAACACCUAAGACUAUGCAUGAUGUGAACAUCUUGUUGCCUUACAUAGGUAGCAGCCAUGACAGGCUGAAAGGCCGGUCAUUCAUCAAUACUCGUGAUUUAGAAGGAAAUAUUACUGUAAGUUUAAUAUUUAUAAAAAACUAAUUUAGGGCCAACAUUACUAUUUGACUUUGGCAUGGACAUGGUUCUUUUUUCCUUUUCUUGUAAAGCACAUAUGCUUCAUAUCACUCUUUAAGUUGCACCAAGUGUUUGCACCAAUUUUUUUUUGGAUUAUCAUAUCUAUUUUCCCCCUAAUAUCUGUUUGAAACACCCAGCAAAGAAGUAACAAAACAAAGGAAAUCAUUUAAUUCUUCACUCAUUUGUUACACGCUUUUCGUCUCCACUGAGAUAAAAAAUACUUCUCAUAGAUAGUCUGUUAUCAUUAGAUGACAGUGAUCAUGGUUAUUUCUUUCUGUAUGGAUGCUGAUAGCUACUAAGUCAUGAUCAUAUCUGACAUUUGGAGAUUUAUUGUAUUUUGAUAGAAAAUAUAUGGAAUAUUUAUUCUAACCAAAAUGUUAUACAUUCAUCUGAUAUCUGUCUGCAGAUAGAGCAUUAUAUCCAGGUAGUUAAAACAGAGGUUAUAAGUAAAACAGGUUCUAGAUUAGUUGAGGAAUACGAGUACACAGCGCACAGUAGUGUGGCACACAGUGUUGACAUUCCGGUAGCAAAAUUUCAUCUUGAGCUCUCCCCCAUGCAGGUCUGUAUAUGGAGGUUAAGAUUUGAUUAAGUUUUUGCACCAUGUUUAGUAAAAAGAUUGGGUUUACAAUGUUUGUUUUAUGAGCAGGUCUCAAUAACAGAAAACCAGAAGUCUUUUUCACAUUUUAUCACAAAUGUCUGCGCUAUUAUUGGGGGUGUUUUCACGGUUUGUAUUUGCUGUUAUUCCAAAUAUUUGCUUCUACUGUUAAAUUAUUAUAUUGUUGACAAGUCUUUUCUGUAAUUUCAGGUAGCUGGAAUUUUGGACUCAAUUCUGCACAACACUAUUAAAGUUAUUAAAAAAAAGGUUGAGCUUGGCAAAAACUUUUGAUGGGCUGAAAAUUUUGUCUAGCUUAGGGCUUUAGAUUUUGCUAUACCUGUUUUCACUACAGAGGUUUUGUAGCAGUUUCUUCUCUGAACUAUAGGCAUACUAUAAAUCAUAGAAAUACAUUUUAUAGUUGUUACUUCAGUAUAAUGAAUCAAUGAUCAUCAUUACAGGAUAAUGAACAAGCUUUGUGAUACAUGUGAUAUAUAUGCCUCCAUUAAUUUCUUGUUGCUUUUGGGGCUGAGUUUUUAUAUAUUUUUUCCUUUCUAUUUUGUAGCUAGAUGUGUAAUUUUGAAUGUGAAAGUAGGACCAAAGUGAUGAUAAUGAUGACUUGUGAUUAAACUUAGCUCACAUGAUAGUUUUCUUUUCUUUUGAAGUUACUAUUGGAAAAUGCCCUUGCUAUUGGGUCAAAAGGAGUUGGAUUGCAUAAGUAAUUGUUAUCUGCAGUGUUCCUUGUGAUGAAAAUUAUAGGCUCCCAAGAAAGUACUCAAAUUUAAUAUUAAAGGAUAAAUUUAUCCAUGAUAAAGAAAAAUCCAUCCACGAAAGAAUUAUGUGUCUAAAUUGUUCAUUAUGCUAGUCAAAGUUUAUUCAAAGUUUUUAAUGGAGGAGUAGGAAUCUUGCAACAUAUGUUAUAAAUAAGUAGGACUGACAAUGAAUUGAACUAACUCGGUAUUCGUUUGAAAUUCGAUUCGUUAUUUAGCUCGAUAAACUUGGUUCAUGAACCAAAUGAGCUGAACUUGAGAUGGAAAUUGAACUCGUUAAAUAAACAAGCCGAACUUGAGUUGAAUAUAGUUUGACUCGUUAGGUUUAUGAACUAGUUCAAUAGAUUUAUAUAUAUAUAUAUAUAUAUAUAUAAAUUAAAUUUUAUGUUUAUUAUCAUUCAUAUAUUAUUUUUUAUAUUUAUUGUUAUUAUAUAUAUAAAAAUGAUUAUAUUUAUAUAUAUAAAACCUUUUCAAGUAUUUUUCAAAUUUUAAUUAAUUAUUUGAGUUGUCCAAAUGAACCAUUCGAACUGAACCAAACAGUUCGCGAACUUUAACCGAAUCAAGCUAAAAAAAUAACUCGUAUCAAAAUCGAGUCGAGUUUCAAAUUGAGCUAAUCCUUAUCGAGUUGAACUGAGCUGAACCCUGAUUCGACUCGGUUCAACUCGUUUCCAACCCUCUAAAUAAGUGGGUAAAGGUCUGUAAUUAUUCACAUUUUUUAGAUGAGAGUCACAUUGCAGUAUAAACUAUAUUAUAUACCAUAAAAACCAACAUCGUCCAAAAAGAAAACGGAAAUCAAUUUAAACAAACAACAAAAUUAGUGUUUAGGGCAUACUUUUUUAGUGGGAUAAUGUUAUUUAGUUAAGAAUUGAGAUCUUCUUUCCUAUUUUCAUAUGUCUAACAUAUUAUCGAUAAGAUUUUUGAUAAAUAUGUAUCAAAUAAAUAUUACAUUAAUUUUUUGAAGUUAAUAUCAAUAGACUUGUCAAUAUUUGAUUACUUAGGAAUAGAGUUAUUUUGAGAUAGUGAUUUGUUUCAUGGAGGUAAGAGGUUUUAAGCAACAACUCUCAAAACAAUGAUAAAUAUUAUAAUAUCUAUAUACUAUCAAGGCAAAAAUUUAUAUAUAAUUAGAACAUUAUCUACUAUUCAUUUAUACUAGAUUCAAUAAUAAUUAAAUAUGAAUAGUGGAUGAUAUAGUAAUAAUUGUAUAAAACUCACACAAAACAUACAUUUUUUGUCUAUCUGUAUUUGAAAGAUCUUGCUCCUUUUAACUAAAAACUAAAUAACAUUAUCCCACUAAAAAAGUAUGCCCUAACCACUAUUCUUUUUGUUUAAUUUGAUUUCAGAUUUCUUUUUGGACGACUUUAAUAUAGGAUAUUGGUUUUUAUGGUAUAUCAAAAGUUCAACGCCGUAUGAUUAAAGAAUUAAUUUAUUGGAAUUUGUGGUUAUUAUUACCAAUAAAUAUUAUUCUCAUAAUUCUAAUCUUAGACAUAAUAUAAUAGCAAUUUAACAAAUUCUUACCCAUUAAACCAAUGCAUCAUUGGUUUAAGAUCUGCUAUAUGGGUACCAGUAAAAAGAAAAGAAAAAAGAACAUCUGUUAGUUACUUGCAAUAGGAAAAAAAUGUACAUAUUUACACAAGAAGAGAAAACAUUUCAUUCUGAACAUCUAAAUUGAAACAUUUAGAAAUUUAUGUAAUUGUGAGUAAGUAUCACGAUAGCUUGUGUUUAGGUAUAGUAAUAGUAGCAUAUAUAAAUGUGAGUUUAAAUAUUGCUUGAUUGUUGAUUUUAAUUAUGAGAAAAUGAUUUAUACAUUAACUCGGUGUAUGAGUUUUAUACACUGUUAUCAUUCACUAUUUAUCUUUAAUUAUUAUACAUGUAUUGAUGUAAUAAUAGCAUUGAGAAAACUUCCCAUAACAUUGACUCAUUACACAUUAAAAAAGGUAUAUUUUAUUUCAUUUCAACAUGUACAACAUUUUUACAUCAUGAGCAUGAGUCACACAAAAGGGUAAAUACAUUAUUGCCAGCUUAUUUUCAAUCUUCACAAACAAAUAUUAAACACCACCCCAAGAGUCAAAGACCCAGUUCAAUAGUACUGACCUCAAAGUAUUGGAAACAAAGAACCCAAAAGAAAACAAAGAAUUUACAUAAGAAAAAAAACCAAAGUAUAAAAAUGAUACCACCACUCAUAACACACUUUAGUUAGAAAGAUAAAAGUAAAAGUGAAGCCAUGAAUGUUCCAAUAGAUGCAGCAUAAUUGAAGAAGAUUGAAGCAGCAGCAUUAGGAGGAGGAGGUUCAUAAACAGGAGCUGGUGAUGGGUUUGACUCUACAAUUCCUGAAGGUGGAGGAGAUUGACCCUCUUGCUUAUAAGGUGUUGGUGAAGGAGCAUAUGAUUGUGGUGAUGGUGGAGAAGCAUUGCUUCUUUGGUUAGUGUUUGAUGAGUUAUGGUUGUUCCUAUCAGCCAACACUAUCACUGUUACCUUUUCAUUUUUAAGACAAUUGUCUUUGUUUCCACUUAUGAAGAAGUGAGGUCCUGAUUGGUUGAGUUUGAUGACUGUGUGGCCAUCAUAGAAUUUUGCAUAAGGUGAACCAGUGUUGCAAUUGGCAUAGUCUUCAUUCUUUACAUAAAGUACUGAGUCUUGGCCAGAUUGAUAGUUGAAUACUGCAUCAUGUGUAAAAAUUUGAUAUUUUAUGUCAGAACUUUCCUUUAUAUCAUAUUUGCUUGUUACAAAGUUUUGAUAUCUUAAAAACUUUAGGCACUAGAUAAUGCUGCUACCCUUUACAGAAGUAUUGCAUUGUGCAAGAACAUGUAUCUAAAAAUAAUAGUUUCUUACAUAAGUUUCAGUUAGGAGGAAGAGGAAGAUUUUCCACAAGGAAUAAUUUACCACUAGACCAUUGAACCAUCGGCCUUGUGGUAUUUCUGAGAUCGAGCCAAACGUUAUACGACUAGACCAACACCUUGUUCAUGAUAACUUUAUUAAAAAAAGCUAAAACUAUAUAUACUUUGUAACAAAAAAUUCAUUAACCCAUGUAGAAAUAUGUGUCAUUCAAUUUAGAUCAAAUUGAAAUUCUUCAAACUGUUUCCC